GCGAAGGUGGCGGAAUUGGUAGACGCGCUAGUUUCAGGUGUUAGUGUCCUUACGGACGUGGGGGUUCAAGUCCCCCCCCUCGCACCA
rnacentral:tRNA from 6 species